rnacentral:rRNA from 1 species
UGGGGAAUAUUGCACAAUGGGCGCAAGCCUGAUGCAGCCAUGCCGCGUGUAUGAAGAAGGCCUUCGGGUUGUAAAGUACUUUCAGCGAGGAGGAAGGCGUUGUGGUUAAUAACCGCAGCGAUUGACGUUACUCGCAGAAGAAGCACCGGCUAACUCCGUGCCAGCAGCCGCGGUAAUACGGAGGGUGCAAGCGGUAAUCGGAAUUACUGGGUGUAAAGCGCACGCAGGCGGUCUGUCAAGUCGGAUGUGAAAUCCCCGGGCUCAACCUGGGAACUGCAUCCGAAACUGGCAGGCUAGAGUCUUGUAGAGGGGGGUAGAAUUCCAGGUGUAGCGGUGAAAUGCGUAGAGAUCUGGAGGAAUACCGGUGGCGAAGGCGGCCCCCUGGACAAAGACUGACGCUCAGGUGCGAAAGCGUGGGGAGCAAACA